CUGUUCACCACUCGCGCUGCGGAUUUCGCCGGCAAUGGAUGCGCAGGCGCGCGCCAAGCGCUACGAGAAGCUCGACUUCCUGGGGGAGGGGCAGUUCGCCACUGUCUAUAAGGCCAGGGACAAGACCAAUAACCGAAUCGUGGCUAUUAAGAAGAUUAAACUGGGGCAUAGAUCAGAAGCUAAAGAUAUUUGUGUGGUGUAGUAGAAUUUUGUUUCUGUGCAGGCUGCUGUCCCUCCGGGAUCCUGCAUCAGGUCACCAGCUUUUCAGUGAACAAUCUUUGCUAUCAACUCUCCAGUUCCAUUCCAUG